UCCAUCAUUAUGAAUUGCCUAAAAUCCUCUCUUAAGACUAACACAUUAAUUUGUCCACGGUUGGGAAUGGUUGUAUCUGGAGUACAUCUGUUUGAAUCUUGUUAACACGAUCAUCAAAGCUUUCUAAGAAGGUAUAAACUCUAUCCUACUAUAAGAUUGAGCUAUAUUUCUGUAUAUUAAUAUCACAUUUAAUAGGAUUUGAUUGGUGAAAUCGAUUUUUUUCCACAAUCCUU
rnacentral:lncRNA from 1 species